CAGUUGUAGAUAAUAGAAACAACAGCAAAGAGCAAUAGUGCACAAAGGAGAGCAAAAUGUGCAGAGAUUGUGCAGAGAGUGAGAGCAGCAGUGUGCAGAGAAGUAGACACAGGAAAACCCAAGUAAAUAAUGCAGUAGAACCCCAGUAGUAGAAAUAAACAGCAAAGAUUACUCAAUCUUGGCUUUCAGCCGAUUGAGUGUUCGAUAGGAGAAUGAGUGAGUUUGUAUAGGAACAAUAGAGAAAGAGAGAGCCCUGAGUGUUAUUGAAAGAGAGUUCAUAGAGAUUGCAAUGUGUUGGUGUGUUAAAGUGAGAAAGGAAUA
rnacentral:lncRNA from 1 species